UUUCAGAUGCAGUGUAAAACCAGAGACACUUAAUAUUUGACAUUAAUACCAUAACGCAAUGAGCCAAAAACUUAGAGAUGCACUUGCGUGAAGUCGAUAUAAUUCAUUUAAAAUACUUGUGUUACACAAUAAUAAUUAGUUUUAUGUUUCUUUUUGUGAUAGCGAUUCGUUUAAAUGUUCUUUUGCACAUAAAAUUGGCUUGAAAGUGGUUUUAGAUUUGAAAAAAAAAAGUGGUUUUAGAUAAUAUAUAAAAUACUUGGAGAAAAAAUAAGAUCUAAGUAUUACAGAGAGUUGAACUUCAAAAAAAAAAAAACUAGAGUAUAACAGAGAGACAUGUAUUUAUAUAGAUGGAUAAAUUGACAUUAUAGAUUCAAGAUCACGCGUUUGAACAAAAAAAAAAGAUUCAAGAUCACGUUUAAAACAACAAACAAGAGUUUACAUAAUUACAUAACAGUGACUUGACCUAGUCUCAUACUGAUUAUGUCGAAUAUCUUAGGAUGAGAUAAAUUGUUAUAGAUUUCGUCGAUCAUAAUGGAGGAAAAAUGUUGUUAUCUUGUAGUUGGUUCUC
rnacentral:lncRNA from 1 species